CCAUGAGGGUGGAACCAUGAUGAUGGAUCCAUGAGGAUGGAACCAUGAGGAUGGAACCAUGAGGGUGGAACCAUGAGGGUGGUACCAUGAGGGUGGAACCAUGAUGAUGGAACCAUGAGGGUGGUACCAAGGGAAUGGAACCAUGAUGAUGGAUCCAUGAGGAUGGAACAAUGGGGAUGGAUCCAUGAGGCAGCCUGAGGUUAGAUCUUCAACACUACUGACCAAACACCAUCACUCUGGCCCUAGCAUGUGUGUGUUAACGUGUUUUAACGUGUGUGUGUGUGUGUGUGUGUGUGUGUGUGUGUGUGUGUGUGUGUGUGUGUGUGUGUGUGUGUGUGGUAUCGUGGUGUGAAAAAUAAUUGUUACUUUUUUUGCAAUUUAAAAACGAUUAAAAGUUGCCGGGGACAACAUUUCCCUGGACCCUAGGCUACUGAAAAUGUUCCCGGACCCUAGGCUACUGAAAAUGUUCCCAGACCCUAGGCUACUGAAAAUGUUCCCAGACCCUAGGCUACUGAAAAGGUUCCCAGACCCUAGGCUACUGAAAAUGUUCCCAGACCCUAGGCUACUGAAAAUGUUCCCAGACCCUAGGCUACUGAAAAUGUUCCCAGACCCUAGGCUACUGAAAAUGUUCCCAGACCCUCGGCUACUGAAAAGGUUCCCAGACCCUAGGCUACUGAAAAUGUUCCCAGACCCUAGGCUACUGAAAAGGCUACUGAAAAUGUUCCCAGACCCUCGGCUACUGAAAAUGUUCCCUGACCCUAGGCUACUGAAAAUGUUCCCCGGACCCUAGGCUACUGAAAAUGUUCCCCGGACCCUCCGAUUUACAAAUUAAUCAGUGUGUGUGUGUGUGUGUGUGUGUGUGUGUGUGUGUGUGUGUGUGUGUGUGUGUGUGUGUGUGUGUGUGUGUGUGUGUGUUUGGGCAGAUUAGAAGUGUUGGGUCCUUCCUGGUAUGAAAAAGGGUGAAAGGUCACAAACCCCGGUUUGGGCAGAAUAGAAGUGUUGGUUCCUUCCUGCUAUGAAAAAGGGUGAAAGGUCACGAACCCGGGUUUGGGCAGAAUAGAAGCGUUGGUUUCUAUUAUUGAUGUUACUAUGUGGACCGGACUGGGUCUGUGUUUUUUAUUUUAUUUACCACAACUAGAACCCGUGGAACCGUCUAGACGUGUUGUUUCCUUGUGAUGAGAUUGCUGUGGAACAGGAUUAUUAUUAUUAUUGUUAUUGUUAUUAUUAUUAUGCAUCUGAUCAUCUAUUACUCUAAAUGACGACGAGCAAUAAAGUUGAGAUCC
ensembl:lncRNA